AGAGACAGCACAGCCGCGGUAAUACGUAGGGUGCGAGCGUUAAUCGGAAUUACUGGGCGUAAAGCGUGCGCAGGCGGUUCGUUAAGACAGAUGUGAAAUCCCAGGGCUUAACCUGGGAACUGCAUUUGUGACUGGCGAGCUAGAGUAUGGCAGAGGGGGGUAGAAUUCUACGUGUAGCAGUGAAAUGCGUAGAGAUGUGGAGGAAUACCGAUGGCGAAGGCAGCCCCCUGGGCCAAUACUGACGCUCAUGCACGAAAGCGUGGGGAGCAAACAGGAUUAGAUACCCGCGUAGUCCCUGUCUCUUAUACA
rnacentral:rRNA from 1 species